rnacentral:lncRNA from 1 species
GCCUGUAGGGAAAUAUGAAGGUGAGACCAGGUAGAAGAGAUAUCAGCAUCAACGUAAAGGAAGAUGAUGUGGGGGUAGAAGAUGGCGACCUUCGGAAGGGAAGAACAGUCUGGGGACCACUGAGCAGGCAAAGAGCAGCACUCACCAGGCGCAGCCCGAGAAAUAUGUGGAAAGGUGUGCACGACAAAAGGCCAGAUCUCCUGAUAGGAAGCAGGAUGGAGGCUGGCACAACUAUGCAUCAGAUAUUGAUGGAUGCCAGAGAUCUGUUUACAGAUAAGCAAGAUUUGGUACCUGCCCUCAAAAUAAUCCUGAGCAGUCUUUGUAUGCCUUUCCUUUUGUGUCCUUUCAGAUCCUUAUACCUCAAAUAUCAUGGAGUAUGCUCUUUACUUUCUAUGUUGAGAACUUAAUUGUUGCUUUGACUACCAAAUAGCUCACACCCGAGAGCCCUGGUAAGCUUCAUUUCAGCCUCCAGGCCAACAUCCCAUACCAGCUUUCACCCUCCAAAAUGACAUGGCGGGUUGUUGAAAGUUAAUUCCUCCUGGAACUCUGUGAUAACACUAAAAUAUGUCCCAGAAGCUCUUUUAAAGGUUCACUUCUACGCAUAGAUUUCACUAUGUAUUUACAGACACUUGCGUGUUUUCGAAGACGUCAUUACAGUUUUCCCUCCUCAUAAUUAUGCCCCAUGUGAAUAAAAUAUGUGCUCUGAAAGUCUCUGGACUUCUU